GCCGAAGUGGCGGAAUGGCAGACGCGCGGGAUUCAAAAUCCCGUAUCCUUCACUGGGUGUGUGGGUUCGACUCCCACCUUCGGCA
rnacentral:tRNA from 1 species